GACGAACGCUGGCGGCGUGCUUAACACAUGCAAGUCGAACGAAGAGCGAUGGACGCUUGCUUCUAUCAAUCUUAGUGGCGAACGGGUGAGUAACGCGUAAUCAACCUGCCUUUCAGGGGGGGAAAAAGGUUGGAAACGCCUGUAAAUACCCAAUACGAUCUAAUCUCGGCACGGGGGAUAAAUAAAAGGUGCCCUCUAAAGGUAACCAACAAUUAAAGGAGGGGAUGCCGUCUGAUUAGCUAGUGGGAGGGGUAACGGCCCACCAAGGCGAUGAUCAGUAGCCGGUCGGAGAGGAGGAACGGCCACAGUGGGACUGAGACACGGCCCAGACGCCUACGGGAGGCAGCAGUGGGGAAUCUUCCGCAAGGGACGAAAGUCUGACGGAGAAACGCCGCGGGAGUGAUGACGGCCUUCGGGUUGUAAAGCUCUGUUAAUCGGGACGAAAGGCCUUCUUGCGAAUAGGGAGAAGGAUUGACGGUACCGGAAUAGAAAGCCACGGCUAACUACGUG
rnacentral:rRNA from 1 species